CUGUCCCGCGGUCGCUGAUGUGCGACGGAGUCCGCCGCGGAGACAGUCUUCUUGAAGACGUCCAUCGCACCGCAUUUCAACCGUUAUGCGGCCCGAGAACGGGAGAGAACGCUGAGCGUUACAAC
rfam:Corynebacterium lipophiloflavum DSM 44291 genomic scaffold SCAFFOLD5, whole genome shotgun sequence.